GGACUUUCAACGCAGCACAGAACACAUCGUUGAUAUUCAAUUUCAAAAGAAAAUAAAUGAAAAUUAAAAAAACAGCAACAAUUUUAGAGUGUAUUAAACAUAAGUACAAAGUGAUAAUUUUUGUAGGUACACUAUGCAGAAGUUCGUUAGGUUCAGAAGUUAGUGUAAGUGCAUUAGUGAUCCCACCUUCGGAAACGCCGAAUCAAACACAUGCCGACUAAACACGAAUGCUCCCUCAUAUUCCUUUAUCUUUGGGAGAUGUGAAAAUUAUUCGUCAUACCCAAAUUCUGGUGAACUCGGCUUUGGAAGACUGUCAAAAGUGAAGUGUUGCCAUCAAAUUAUCUCUUUUGAUCCAGAAUUAAAAUUCUCGUGUAGUUUCUAUCCUAGAGAAUUCGUUUAAAUUCUAUAUAAUCUAUACAUUUUGUAUUCUGGUACCUUUCGCACUGACGGAUGGACUGACGGACUGAUUGUUUAUAAAAAGUAAACCAUAACAUCAGCAAUUGGGAAAGUGAAAACAGGAAUUGCUAUUUGCGCUGAGAAGAGUGAAAAAUGGGUGGAAUUUGGAGUGUGUGAACUCUGUUCAACGACUGUUCAUAAUUGCUAAAGGUAUAUUCAUAUUUGCAGAGGCUCGGAGAAGCCAUCGCAAAAGAUGAAAGCAGUUUGCAUCAGCAGCCGAAAGUUGGGAUGUGGAACAUGUCCAAGAUGGCAAUAAAAUACUUGGGCAUUAUCCUAGACACGAAGCUAUUGUACCGGGAACAACGGCAACUACAGAUCUCUUCACUCCUUCGCUUGAUCUCAUUAAACUGUGUUUAUCUGAGGCAAUUUAUGGUCUUCAGGCAAGAAUUCUUAAUAUGCCACAUGCGGGCAAUUACAGGGUAUUAAGAAUC